AUGGCAAGAACUUGUCCAGAGAAACAUGAUUGCAGCUACAGGACUGGGAGGCCAAUGAGGACAGAAAGAAUCUCAAAAUUUAGCUAUUUAAGACAAACUAGGUGCUGGGGAGAUGUCCGGUUGGAUUUGGCCCUUCCUGGAAUCCUGCUACCCAAGCCUGGGAGUCAGCCUCACCUGUUCCCUCUCCCUCAUAUCCCACAUCCUGCCACCGUCCCUCUCCUAACAGUCUCUCAGCUUGGUCCUUUCCUCUCCUUUCCACCACCUGCCUACCACCUAUAUGCAGUUCUAUCACCUCUCAUCUGAACUGCGUAUGCACUGUGAUGGUUAAUUUAUGCGUCAACUAGAUUGGACCACAGGGUGCCCAGAUAUUUGGCCAAGCGUUAUUCUGGGUAUGUAUGUGAAGGUGUUUUGGGAUUAGAUUAACAUUUGAGUUAGUAGAUUUAAGGAAACAGAUUGCCCUCCCUAAGGUGGGUGAUCCUCAUCCAGUCAGCUGAAGGCCUGAAUGGAACAAACAGGCUGAGCCUGCCCAGAAUAAGCGGGAACUCCUCUUUCCUGACCUCUGUGAGCCGGGACGUUGGUCUUUUCUUGCCUUCAGACUCAAACUCAACUUUUGUCCUUGGAUCUUGACCAUGCAGGUUUUGAGACUGGAACUUACACCAUUGACUCUUCUGGUUCUCACCCUUCAGACUCAGACCGAAGCUACACAUGGGCUCUCCUGGGUCUCCAGCUUGCCAGCUGCAUAUCGAGGGACCUCUCAGCCUCCAUAAUAAUCGCAUGAGCCAAUUCCUUAUGAUUUCUCUCUCUCUAUCCCAAUAGAUAGAAAGAUGAUAGAUAGAGACAUGUCUAUACAUAGAUAUAUAUCCUAUUGGUUCUUUUUCUCUGGAGAAUCCUGACUAACACAUGCACCCUUCCCCUCCUUGGUGACCCAUCUCCUCGAUUCCCACUCUCACCACACUAUACUCAACAGACAAACUACUCUUCCUAAAUUAGCUCACUUCCAACCAUGCUAUUGCCUGGUGAACCUGGAUUCAGAAGAUGGAAGGAUGAUGAAGAAAUCAGCUAAGAGAAUCAAUAAUCUCAGGGAGAGACAGUUUUAAGAACAAAGACGUGAUCAACAGUAAAAUAUCAGGAAACACUGAGGAGAAUGAGAACCAGAAGGAAGCCACAGUUUCGCAAUGAGCCCCGCUAGUGACUUUGAGGGACCCAUUUCUGCAGCUUGCCAGGCUAACCCGAGGUUGAGAAAUGCAGGGCAGGGAGGGUGGAAGGUCUAGAGCAGGGCUUCUCAAGCUGUCUGUGAGGAAGAUUCAGGUUUCUCCCUCCUUUCUCCCUCUAACCAAUUGCAGACUGAUAUCCUGUAAAAUACAAUAGGAAGAAAUUACUUUAAAAAUGAUCACAUGCUUAGAUGUCACGGCAAUGUCAAAUUGCUAUCAAAGUUUUUAAACACUUUCAGUUUCUGAACUUCUCUCACUGUGGACCUGUACCAAACAGUUCACAAAGUGGCAUCUGUCCAUCUGUCCCCAGACCACAUUCUGAGUAGCGAUGGUCUACAUCUGCACUGUCCUGUCCAAUACAGUAGCCACUAGCCAUACAUGACUAUUAAGUGUGUGAAAUGUGGCUGGUCUGGAUUGAAACAAGCUCCAGAUUUCAAAGACUUAGCAUGAAAAAGUCUAUAAAAUAUCUCAUUAAUACUUUUCAUGCUGACUACAUGUUGAGAUGAUAAUGUUUUGCAUAUAUUGGGUUAAAUAAAGUAAAUUAUUAAAAUUAAUUUCA
rnacentral:lncRNA from 1 species